rnacentral:rRNA from 1 species
CUGGGAAUUUUGCGCAAUGGGGGAAACCCUGACGCAGCAACGCCGCGUGGGUGAGGAAGGCCUUCGGGUCGUAAAGCCCUUUCAGCAGGGAAGAAACAAAUGACGGUACCUGCAGAAGAAGCACCGGCUAACUCCGUGCCAGCAGCCGCGGUAAUACGGAGGGUGCGAGCGUUAUUCGGAUUCACUGGGCGUAAAGCGCGCGUAGGCGGUUGGGUAAGUCUGAUGUGAAAGCCCUCGACUUAAUCGAGGAAGUGCAUUGGAUACUGCCUGACUAGAGUGCAGGAGAGGAAGAUGGAAUUCCCGGUGUAGAGGUGAAAUUCGUAGAUAUCGGGAGGAACAACAGAGGCGAAGGCGAUCUUCUGGACUGUAACUGACGCUGAGGCGCGAAAGCGUGGGGAGC